AUGCAGUGCACUAAGAGACAACAGUCUCUGCUCUUAUGUGUAAUUAUUGGGCUGCCAUGUGGUUUUGGUGUUCUACUUUUGAGCUUCAGUGUAGUGCUUCUCACUCGUAGAUGGAAAAUAAAUGUUCAAAAGCGACGAUGCAAGAACUAUUUCCGGAAGAACCAAGGUUUUCUCCUAGAAAGAUUGAUAUCAUCUGAUAAAAGUGCAAACGAGAAUACAAAGAUUUUCUCGUUAGAAGAGCUGGAGAAGGCAACCAAUAACUCUGAUCCUACACGUAUCAUUGGCCGUGGGGGUCAUGGCAUGGUUUACAAAGGCAUAUUAUCCGAUCAGCGUGUUGUUGCAAUAGAAAAGUCUAAGUUCAUUGAGGAGUGUGAGAUCAGUCAGUUCAUUAAUGAGGUCGCAGUCCUCUCUGAGAUAAAUCACAGAAAUAUUGUGAAGCAAUUUGUAUGUUGUCUCAAAACCGAGGUUCCACUGCUGGUUUAUGAUUAUGUAUCCAGUGGCUCACUGUCUGAAGUUCUUCAUGCAGAUGUAAGUAAUGAUCUUUCUUUGUCUUGGGGUGAUUACUUAAGGAUUGCCCUGUAA
rnacentral:rRNA from 1 species